UACGUAGGGGGCUAGCGUUAUCCGGAAUUACUGGGCGUAAAGGGUGCGUAGGUGGUUUCUUAAGUCAGAGGUGAAAGGCUACGGCUCAACCGUAGUAAGCCUUUGAAACUGGGAAACUUGAGUGCAGGAGAGGAGAGUGGAAUUCCUAGUGUAGCGGUGGAAAUGCGUAGAUAUUAGGAGGAACACCAGUUGCGAAGGCGGCUCUCUGGACUGUAACUGACGCUGAGGCUCGAAAGCGUGGGGAGCAAACAGGAUUAGAUACCCUGGUAGUCCCUGAG
rnacentral:rRNA from 1 species